rnacentral:lncRNA from 1 species
UGCCUCCAUCAGGAACUGCAAUUAUGCACACAUUCAGCCACCUAAAGUUGUCCCACAGCUCAGAUGCAAUAUUCUUUUUUUUAAAUUCUUUUCUCUUUGUGUGUUCCAUUUUGGGUAUUCUCUAUUGCUAUGGCUUCAAGUUCACUAAUCUUUUCUUCUGUGUUUUCUAAUCAGGUAUUAAUAUCAUUCAGGUAUUAAUAUCAUCUUGGAUUCUGUUUUCAUCUGAUAUGGAGAAGCAUUGGAUCUGAGUGGGACACAUCCUCUCUAAUGCACCCUGCCUUUUCCGCUGCUCCAAAUUUCACACAAGCGUCAGAAAAAUUCAAGACAAUCUAGAAAAUCUAAGUACAAAUACAAAAAGGAAAGUGUUUUCUUUCAAAGCUGUGAAUUAUAUAAAGUGAGUAAGCUCAAUAAACAUUUGCAGAAGUGGGAACAUGUGUUAGUUCAUUCUUGCAUUGCUAUAAACCAUCAGGAACUGCAAUUAUGCACACAUUCAGCCACCUAAAGUUGUCCCACAGCUCAGAUGCAAUAUUCUUUUUUUUAAAUUCUUUUCUCUUUGUGUGUUCCAUUUUGGGUAUUCUCUAUUGCUAUGGCUUCAAGUUCACUAAUCUUUUCUUCUGUGUUUUCUAAUCAGGUAUUAAUAUCAUUCAGGUA